GCUCAACCGUGGAGGGUCAUUGGAAACUGGGGAACUUGAGUGCAGAAGAGGAAAGUGGAAUUCCACGUGUAGCGGUGAAAUGCGUAGAGAUGUGGAGGAACACCAGUGGCGAAGGCGACUUUCUGGUCUGUAACUGACACUGAGGCGCGAAAGCGUGGGGAGCGAACAGGAUUAGAUACCCUGGUAGUCCACGCCGUAAACGAUGAGUGCUAAGUGUUAGAGGGUUUCCGCCCUUUAGUGCUGCAGCUAACGCAUUAAGCACUCCGCCUGGGGAGUACGGCCGCAAGGCUGAAACUCAAAGGAAUUGACGGGGGCCCGCACAAGCUGUGGUGCAUGUGGUUUAAUUCGAAGCAACGCGAAGAACCUUACCAGGUCUUGACAUCCUCUGACAACCCUAGAGAUAGGGCCUUCCCUUUCGGGGGACAGAGUGACAGGUGGUGCAUGGUUGUCGUCAGCUCGUGUCGUGAGAUGUUGGGUUAAGUCCCGCAACGAGCGCAACCCUUGUCUCUAGUUGCUACGAAAGGGCACUCUAGAGAGACUGCCGGUGACAAACCGGAGGAAGGUGGGGAUGACGUCAAGUCCUCAUGGCCCUUAUGGGUAGGGCUUCACACGUCAUACAAUGGUGCAUACAGAGGGUUGCCAAGCCGCGAGGUGGAGCUAAUCCCAGAAAAUGCAUCGUANUCCGGAUCGUAGUCUGCAACUCGACUACNUGAAGCUGGAAUCGCUAGUAAUCGCGGAUCAGCAUGCCGCGGUGAAUACGUUCC
rnacentral:rRNA from 1 species